CUGGCCUAAAGUGCUAUUAUUUGACCAAUCCAAUCAUUUCAACUUUCACUUGCUAACAAUAGCUGAUUGCUCUUGUCAAAAAAUCAUGUCAUAAUAACUAUGCACUAAACUCUUAACCUGGCUGGUAGUUGCAUCUGAAGAGCUGUUGGAAGUGAAACGAUCCUGCUGUGGCACUUCAUCCGGGUCUUUCAACCUUCCCAGCAGAGAUGACUGAUGUGGGAUUUUCAAAUGGACCACAGCUGGUGGUGAAGCAGGGGCAUGAAUGAAGCUGAAGUGAUAAAAAGCAAGACCAUUCCUAAUUCAGUGUCUCUGGCUUCAUAUUAUGAAGCUAUCCUUUUCUUUUUUUUUUCCACAUAGAAAAAAAUCCAGAUUCAAAUUUUCAGGGAACAAUAGAAUCCCUAAUUGUCAGGUCCUUGCUUAGCAUCUGGAUGGCCAUCUUAAGUGACAGCCUCUAUCUUAAGAAAAAGUUUUGCUUUCCCACCCAAGGGUGUUUCUGAGAAAGGUUCACCUCUCCCUUCACACCAACCUAACACUUAACCACCUGCAUUAGUACCCUUGGGGCUCUAAUCCAUGGCCUGCCUCAUAAAAGUCCCAGAACUCAAACCUGUAUUGCCUCUUUCCAUCUAUAGAGAGAUGACAAAUAAACUCUCAUGUGUAUCUCA